CUUUCAUAUACUAGCUAUUCCUUUGGAAAUGUAAAUAUGAAAUACAUGUAACCACAUAUAAAAAUCCGACUGUAGAUGAAUCAUACAUUACGAAUACGGAAGAUGUCAUCCAACAGGGAAUUUCCAAAUUAAUCCUAUCGAACAAAGUACAAUUGUACACUUCAAUACAUGUUACAAAGUUAAUUCGCACACUGCAUGAAUAAGUGUAUAAUUAUUUGAAACCUUAGUCUCGUGCUACUUAAUUACAAUUUACAACUUGAAGUGAAAUUUAAGUGUUUUGCAUUAUAUGUUGUUAUUACUAAUCAAACUUUGUGGAUGCAAUAUCUCUUUAAAAAUAGUGUGCACAUUUAAGACAUGGUUUAGAAUACAUGUGUGCUACAAACCAUGGACAAUCCGCUUUAUAGAGAAAAUCUUGAUUCUGAACUUGAAGAACCAAACGUUAAUAACACUGUAAAAUCUAUGACUAUGUUCGACCGUGUGUUUAAAAAGGAAUCAUUCUGUACUAAAUAUCGUUCGUUUCUGUGCGUUGUUGGUGGUUUGUUAGUUGGUUGCUUUGUUACUGUUGGAUUUUGUUAUCUGUUUUUUAAUCUAGGAAAUAAACAAAACUGCAAUGUUCAAUCAAGUGGUAAGUAUUUAUUACCUUACAUAAUACAUAUAUUAAUCCAAUUACACAUGAAGCACAUUUUUAUUCGAAUCACAUAUUAAACAUAUUACAAAAACAUCUGUUAAAUAUGGAUAAUCAAAUCGAAAUAUUUUCUCGUAUACUUCGUUAAAAAAUACUACUGAAGGUUACUUUUUGAAAUACAUAUGGAUAAGUACUUGUAGUACAUUUUACUUUUACUUAAUGGGGAACUAAUAUUUAAUUUACUGUGGAUAAAUUUAUUUUCGUGGUUACCAAUUUACGUGGUUUAGAAAAACUUGCAUAUUCGUGGAUAUGUAAUUUCGUUGUUUCGUUGUUUCUAAAAAGUCUGCAUACAUUCAUUUAGAACAUUUUGAUUCCAUGGAACAUUUAAAUUCGUGUUGUCCCUGUAUCCACGAAAAUCGGUAUCAAACGAAUAUUAAUGAAUCCACAGUAUAACAACUGAUAUGUGUAACUAAUAUUUACAUAAACCUCCUGAUGAAUAAUUCGUCAAUUAAAGGAGAAACGUUGUCAAUCGUUGACUUAUUUUGUAUAAUAACUUUUUAAUUCUGAGAAAUUUGUGACGAUUGAAAAUCAAAUGAAUAUCUUAAAUAAUUUCUGUUAAAUAUAAUCACAAUUGUCUUAGACUUGAGUUCAUUUGAUGCUUGGAAUAUUGUAAAGAUAUCUCUGUAUUAUUGAUGACUGUAUGGAAAUUUCGAAAGGUCUCUUGAACAUUGGAGUCACUAGCGUUUACUCCAUGUCUUCUUUUAUUCUCAAACUUGAAGCUUUAGCAGUAUAUCGGAAAAUACAACAGCAACCGACAACAAGAUUUUAGGAUAAAAAUAUUGUUUGACUUUUGUUAUAAGAAAUGCAAUUUGACAUUUGCUUAGGGACUUUAAGUUAAGUAUUUACCUCGGAGUUCAAUAUUCUUGUAAUUUUACAUUCUUGAAUGCGCUUGUAACCAGCAUAUAACACACAAUAUAUAUAACAAACACAUAAUUAUAAGUGAACCGAUGAUUAUCAACGAAAUGUCAACCUCGUGUAAAAUAAAUAACUUCAGAGCUACAAUUGUAAUGUAAAUCUGGAUUGAUGCUCAUUAUAUAUAUGUAAUUUUAUUUGUAUAUGUCAUGGUUUAUAUAUUGUUUAAAUGUCAUAAAAUGUUACAAUUAUAGUUUAAUUUGACAUGGAUUAAAUAUGAAACUCUAGUAAGGUUUCCCCUUGAAUCAAAAGUGCACUAAAAUAAUCUUCGGUCACCACAUUGAAAUACAAUGGACGAUGAUUGUUUUUAGUAUUAUUAUAGAUUGUAAGAAAGUUUACGAUUUUGAAUUUUCAAGGAUAUUGAGUUUUAUUAUCAAUUAUAUCUAUAAUGAUAUGUUUUCUUCUAAAAACGUGGAUAUUGUGUCUCAAAUAAAUGUGAAUAAAAACUUUAUUAUAACAAAAAGUCUUUUUUUAUAGUCAGUGCCAGAAAACAGGACGACAAUCAAAUUUCCCGAAUGAUUGAAGACGUUAACAAGACUAAAGAAGGUAAUGUUGGCAUAAAAUCAACUAAAAUACAAGAAACCUUAACCAUAACGUGCAUUCGGGUGGUUUUGUUUUUGUGUCAUAGUACAUUUGGUACAAUCCGGCCCUUAUGUUUUAUUGAUAAAUUGACUACCAAUAUUUCACUUUUUUCACAUUAAUGAUCCAAGGACAGUUCUUUAAUUUACAUUUCUAUUACAUCUCCAUGUAUGCGGGUGAACUCGACUCCAACUUAAUUGACUAGGAUUGUCAGUUUUCUUGUUGAUGGUCUGUGGUUUUCUCAAGACACUCUGGCUUCCUCCACCAAUAAAAACUGGCCGCCACAAAAAUAGCCUAAAUGCGGUGCUUAAAAGUGGCGUUAAAACACCAAAAAUUAACAUCAUCAUCUCCAUGUAUAUUUCCAGGUUUAAAACAUAUUUGAGGGUUCAUAAUGCAGGUUAAUCAUCAAAAAGCGCUUAAAACGCAUAACAUUGUUACUGUUUAUUUCAUUUAUUUACACAACAAUGAUGCCCAAAAAAAUAUUAAUUCUGAUACCAUGUAUACAUAGAUAUAAGACAUAAACGUGUUCUGGCUGUUGUAGCUUUGUUUGUAUGUAGUAAUUUUUUAUUGAAAUUAAUUCACGUUCAAGAUUUUUUUUCUAGAUCUCAUGGUUAUUCACGAUAUGAGAAAAGAAUUGGUGGACUAUCUGACGGAUAUUGAAAACACUACUCGUAAAGGUAAUUUUAUGUAUCAACGUUUUACAUGUUUGUAAUAGUCAGAAACUCGAUUGAAAACUGAUGAUUGAAACCAGUUACCUCGGAAAAGGCAGAAUUACAUGUCAUAUUUUGGAACCAUUGAACUGGACAGAAUUUGUCGAUAACUCAUGAUAGCAUGUCUGUAUGACUAUUCAACUGACGAUUUUGAAUGUAUGUUUGUAUUACAGAAC
rnacentral:lncRNA from 1 species